UUUUUUUUCUUUGUUAUGAGGACACAACUAACCCUGAGGACUUUGUUGUCCUCAGGGUUAGUUUAAGUGAUGGCAGUGAGACUGAUGGCUCCUCUCCCUCAUCCCCCACCCACAAAGAGGCCCCAGCUUUGAUAAAAAGCACCAAUAACCAGAUUCUAGAGGUGAGGAGCCCCAUCAGACAGAGCAAGCAAGACAAGAAUGAAAACCUAGACUGUGACAAGGCUUACCUGGAUGAGUUGGUAGAGCUGCACAAUAGACUGAUGACACUAAGGGAAGGCCAUAUACUGCAGCAGAUCGUAAACCUGAUUGAGGAGACGGGGCAUUUCCACAUCACAAAUACUACUUUUGAUUUUGACCUUUGCUCCCUGGACAGAAGUACUGUUCGGAAGCUGCAGAGUUACCUGGAGACCUCGGGAUUGUCCUGAGGCUCUGAGUGGCUGGGCUUUAGACUCUCUGUUUCUGUUUUGACUUUUCCUGAAUAUAAUCAAGGUUGGUUGUUGCACUGCAUCCAGUCUGCUGGAGCCCUGAAUCCAGCAGGUCGUCCUGCAAGUGGAAAGCAGCGGGAGGCGCUGUGGGGGCAGAGCCUGUCCAACAGGAGAUCACCUGUAAGGCCUUGUAGCUUCAACUGAUAGCAGCAUGGUGGCUGGUUUCUCUUAAUGAAUGUGCAUAUUGAUACAUGUAUGUUUCUUGAUUUGUUGUUCAUUGUGACAAACACAUGAUCAGCAUUGCCUUACAACAUGAUGUCUUAUUUAUUGAAUUUAUUUUGGAAGCGUAUGUGUGUGUAGGUGUGUGUGUGCAUGUGUGUGCGUUUGUCUAGGUGUGUGCGUGUGUAUGUGUAUAUGUGCGUGCACGCGUGCGUGUGUGUGUAUAAAAUGGUUCUGGCAGAAUGAGACAGUGGAAGCACUUCACACUUCACAAAGAGCAGAUCUUCCAACCUGUGAGAUUUGAUCAUCAUUCUGAAUUAAAAGAUCUUUAACUGGAGAUUUAAGACAGCCCUGAUCCACUGGGUAUAGAAUUCACAAAUUAAAAAAAAAAAUUAAUUAUUAUAAAUAUGUUUUCACACCAUUGUGGUUUGGAGCUCCAGAUGGAUGGAGAUUAUGUCUGUUCUCCAUUUUUUUUCCCUCAAAUGUUACCAUAUAAAUAACAGAAAGCCUCUAAAUCACAGACAUGCUCAGAAUCACUGACCCAUAAUUAGUUUUGGAUUUAUUAAAAGUUCACAUAAAGAAUUUUUUUUUUUUGUAAUGAUGCAUCGUAGCAAUAAAGCUUAUUCUAUUGAAAAACCUGUAUACUCCCUUAAAGUGGUUCCACGUUUCUAAAGAAAAUACAUGUUAUGUUUUCAUUUGCAGAGUUGACUCUUCAAAUCCUCACUGCCAAUGCCACGCAGCUUUUGGUAAAAGCAGUGUGAUGCUGCGGUGUGGGAGCGGAGUAGACAAGGCUCAUCAUCAUUGGUUCACAAUGCAGAUAUAUAAAAGAUGAAUCAGCUGUAGGAUAUUGGUUGAGCUGAUUUUAGAAGUUUUUCAUGGAUAUAACCCACAAAUGUUCCUUGCAAAUGAGGCACAAUUUAAAGUUUUUUCAUAACUGUCUGGGAUUUAUUGCCAAGAAAUUAUGUUACGUUAAUACAACAAAGAAAUAAAUUAUCAAAUAUAUAUGUACUUUU